AAAAGCGGAAAAGAAAAUAACUAUGAUUCCCUUAGUAACGGCGAGUGAACAGGGAAAAGCCCAAAUUUGUAAUCUGGCACUUUUUACGAGUGUCCGAGUUGUAAUUUGUAGAAUCGUUAUCCGCGCUGGACCAUGUACAAGUCUGUUGAAAAGCAGCAUCAUUGAAGGUGAAAAUCCUGUAGAUGAUAUGGACUACCAGUGCAUUUGUGAUACGGUUUCUAAGAGUCGAGUUGUUUGGGAAUGCAGCUCAAAGUGGGUGGUAAAUUCCAUCUAAGGCUAAAUAUAAGUGAGAGACCGAUAGCAAACAAGUACCGUGAGGGAAAGAUGAAAAGAACUUUGAAAAUAGAGUUAACAGUACGUGAAAUUGCUGAAAGGGAAACGUUUGAAGUUAGUAUUGUAUUCGUUGGAUCAGCUUCGCAAGGAGUGUAUUCUGAUGAUAAGCAAGUCAACAUCAAUCUUUGGGUGUUGGAUAAGGGUUUUGAGGACGUAGCAAUUUAAUUGUGUUAUAACUUGAGACUUGGAUACAAUGCUUGGGAUUGAGGAACGCGUAGUAAGCUUUGUGCGGAUCAGCAAUGAUCUCCUUACUAUGGAUGUUG
rnacentral:rRNA from 1 species